GACGAACGCUGGCGGCGUGCUUAACACAUGCAAGUCGAACGGAAAGGCCCUGCUUUUGUGGGGUGCUCGAGUGGCGAACGGGUGAGUAACACGUGAGUAACCUGCCCUUGACUUUGGGAUAACUUCAGGAAACUGGGGCUAAUACCGGAUAGGAGCUCCUGCUGCAUGGUGGGGGUUGGAAAGUUUCGGCGGUCGGGGCUGGACUCGCGGCUUAUCAGCUUGUUGGUGGGGUAGUGGCUUACCAAGGCUUUGACGGGUAGCCGGCCUGAGAGGGUGACCGGCCACAUUGGGACUGAGAUACGGCCCAGACUCCUACGGGAGGCAGCAGUGGGGAAUAUUGCACAAUGGGCGGAAGCCUGAUGCAGCAACGCCGCGUGCGGGAUGACGGCCUUCGGGUUGUAAACCGCUUUCGCCUGUGACGAAGCGUGAGUGACGGUAAUGGGUAAAGAAGCACCGGCUAACUACGUG
rnacentral:rRNA from 1 species